CUCAAUUUAGCCCUAGCGCGAGAGCGCCACCACCAAUUCUUCUUCCCUCCAGCGCCAGAGCUACCACCGCCACUUCUUCCUCCCUACAGCGCGAGAGCCACCACCACCACCACCAUCACCAUCACCAUCACCAUCACCAUCACCAUCACCAUCACCAUCACCACCUCUUCUUUCUCCCUUCAGCGCGGUAGCGCCUCCCGCUCGACCAUCACACAGAUCCGAUUCGGCCACCGCGCAGCUUCGAUUGAACUCGGAAUUUUUUCUAUUGUGGUUGUGAGGCGUGAGCGGCCGGUGAUGGUGGCUGACUGAAAGAGGCGGCUAGUGCAAUCGGCGAAGCCAGCUGCCGUUCGCCUCUCUAUUUCCCUGUCGUGGUCGAACAAUCAUAUCCUUCCAGUCACAGGGAUGUGAGCUUUAAGAAUACAAUACACUUGAAGAUAUCAUGGACCUGUAUCUGGCAUACUUGCAAGUAAGCGUAGUUAAUCCUGCCAUGGAUAAAGCAUUAUUGCUCUGGGAAAAGUUUGCUGUUGAUGCAUGAAGUGGGAAAAUACCAGAGGAUAUACAUUAUGAGUUGGUGCUCCUUGGAGCAUUAUUCCUCGUUCACUACUUCGUGUUCAUAAUGACAAAAAUUUCAUUUUCACAAUGAACAGUAGCGAUGCUGCAUCGGGUUGUUCUUGUAUAUGUCCAAAUUAGUAAAAAAUGAGUUUCACCAUACCACUCCAUUAAAUUAAGUGAUUCUGUUUCAGGCAACACAGCAGCAGUAGCUCGUCUCUUGGUUCAGAGCACUCGUCUAUCAUCAAAACUAUGCAUUGCACGAAACGUUGGUGUCCUCGUAGAUCAAGUGGAAGUCAGGAUCCUAAUUUUGUUACUGGAAUCAAGGAUUAGUGAUAUCUUAUGAAGGUUUAGGUGUAUAAACUUGAUACGAUGUAGUAUUUCUUUUUGAACGUCGUAACAGUACACACUUUUGUUGCUUGUUAUAACUACUACCAACAUUUAUCCCUAUUAAUAAUAUUUUUUGGGUUUAAUGUUUA